GAUGAACGCUGGCGGCGUGCUUAACACAUGCAAGUCGAACGAUGAAGCCCAGCUUGCUGGGUGGUUUAGUGGCGAACGGGUGAGUAACACGUGAGUAACCUGCCCUUAACUCUGGGAUAAGCCUGGGAAACUAGGUCUAAUACCGGAUAGGAGCGCCUACCGCAUGGUGGGCGUUGGAAAGAUUUAUCGGUUUUGGAUGGACUCGCGGCCUAUCAGCUUGUUGGUGAGGUAAUGGCUCACCAAGGCGACGACGGGUAGCCGGCCUGAGAGGGUGACCGGCCACACUGGGACUGAGACACGGCCCAGACUCCUACGGGAGGCAGCAGUGGGGAAUAUUGCACAAUGGGCGCAAGCCUGAUGCAGCGACGCCGCGUGAGGGAUGACGGCCUUCGGGUUGUAAACCUCUUUCAGUAGGGAAGAAGCGAAAGUGACGGUACCUGCAGAAGAAGCACCGGCUAACUACGUG
rnacentral:rRNA from 1 species